rnacentral:rRNA from 1 species
AACGUACGCUGGCGGCACGCCUAACACAUGCAAGUCGAACGAAGUAGCAAUACUUAGUGGCAGACGGGUGAGUAACAUGUAGGUAUCUGCCCUUUGGCCUGGAAUAACACGAGGAAACUUGUGCUAAUACCGGAUAAGUCUUUACGGAGAAAGCUUUAUGCACCAUUGGAUGAGCCUGCACUUGAUUAGUUUGUUGGUGGGGUAAUGGCCUACCAAGACUGUGAUCAAUAGCUGAUUUGAGAGGAUGAUCAGCCACAUUGGGACUGAGACACGGCCCAAACUCCUACGGGAGGCAGCAGUGGGGAAUCUUGCACAAUGGAGGAAACUCUGAUGCAGCGAUGCCGCGUGAGUGAAGAAGGCCCUUGGGUUGUAAAGCUCUUUCGUCGGGGAAGAAAAUGACUGUACCCGAAUAAGAAGGUCCGGCUAACUUCGUGCCAGCAGCCGCGGUAAUACGAAGGGACCUAGCGUAGUUCGGAAUUACUGGGCUUAAAGAGUUCGUAGGUGGUUGAAAAAGUUAGUGGUGAAAUCCCAGAGCUUAACUCUGGAACUGCCAUUAAAACUUUUCAGCUGGAGUAUGAUAGAGGAAAGCAGAAUUUCUAGUGUAGAGGUGAAAUUCGUAGAUAUUAGAAAGAAUACCAAUUGCGAAGGCAGCUUUCUGGAUCAUUACUGACACUGAGGAACGAAAGCAUGGGUAGCGAAGAGGAUUAGAUACCCUCGUAGUCCAUGCCGUAAACGAUGUGUGUUAGACGUUGGAAAUUUAUUUUCAGUGUCGCAGGGAAACCGAUAAACACACCGCCUGGGGAGUACGACCGCAAGGUUAAAACUCAAAUGAAUUGACGGGGACCCGCACAAGUAGUGGAGCAUGUGGUUUAAUUCGAAGAUACGCGCAGAACCUUACCAACACUUGACAUGUUCGUCGCGACUCUAAGAGAUUAGAGUUUUCGGUUCGGCCGGACGAAACACAGGUGCUGCAUGGCUGUCGUCAGCUCGUGUCGUGAGAUGUUGGGUUAAGUCCCGCAACGAGCGCAACCCUCACUUUUAGUUGCCAUCAUUAAGUUGGGCACUCUGAAAGAACUGCCAGUGAUAAGCUGGAGGAAGGUGGGGAUGACGUCAAGUCCUCAUGGCCCUUACGUGUUGGGCUACACACGUGCUACAAUGGUAUCUACAACAGGAAGCAAAACUGCGAAGUUAAGCAAAUCCCUAAAAGAUACCUCAGUUCGGAUUGCACUCUGCAACUCGAGUGCAUGAAGCUGGAAUUACUAGUAAUCGUGGAUCAGCGUGCCACGGUGAAUGCGUUCCCGGGUCU